UACGAAGGGUGCAAGCGUUACUCGGAAUUACUGGGCGUAAAGCGUGCGUAGGUGGUUUGUUAAGUCUGAUGUGAAAGCCCUGGGCUCAACCUGGGAACGGCAUUGGAAACUGGCUUACUAGAGUGCGGUAGAGGGGUGUGGAAUUCCCGGUGUAGCAGUGAAAUGCGUAGAUAUCGGGAGGAACAUCUGUGGCGAAGGCGACACCCUGGACCAGCACUGACACUGAGGCACGAAAAGCGUGGGGAGCAAACAGG
rnacentral:rRNA from 1 species